rnacentral:tRNA from 1 species
GGGCGGUUAGCUCAGCGGGAGAGCAUUCGCCUCACACGCGAAGGGUCACUGGUUCGAUCCCAGUACCGCCCACCA